AUUUUUAAUUAUUUUUUUUUUUUUUUUUUUUUUCGACAAAACCGAGAAGAAAAAAGAAGAAACGAAAACACAAUGUCCUCGUUAUUGUUUGCUACACUAUUGAUAUAUGUA
rnacentral:ribozyme from 1 species